AUUGAACGCUGGCGGCAUGCUUUACACAUGCAAGUCGAACGGUAACAGGCCGCAAGGUGCUGACGAGUGGCGAACGGGUGAGUAAUGCAUCGGAACGUGCCCAGUCGUGGGGGAUAACGCAGCGAAAGCUGCGCUAAUACCGCAUACGAUCUGUGGAUGAAAGCGGGGGACCGUAAGGCCUCGCGCGAUUGGAGCGGCCGAUGUCAGACUAGGUAGUUGGUGGGGUAAAGGCCUACCAAGCCGACGAUCUGUAGCUGGUCUGAGAGGACGACCAGCCACACUGGGACUGAGACACGGCCCAGACUCCUACGGGAGGCAGCAGUGGGGAAUUUUGGACAAUGGGCGCAAGCCUGAUCCAGCAAUGCCGCGUGCAGGAAGAAGGCCUUCGGGUUGUAAACUGCUUUUGUACGGAACGAAACGGUCUGGGUUAAUACCCUGGGCUAAUGACGGUACCGUAAGAAUAAGCACCGGCUAACUACGUGCCAGCCGCCGCCGUAAAAC
rnacentral:rRNA from 1 species